rnacentral:rRNA from 1 species
AUUGAACGCUGGCGGCAGGCCUAACACAUGCAAGUCGAACGGUAACAGGAAGAAGCUUGCUUCUUUGCUGACGAGUGGCGGACGGGUGAGUCAUGUCUGGGAAACUGCCUGAUGGAGGGGGAUAACUACUGGAAACGGUAGCUAAUACCGCAUAACGUCGCAAGACCAAAGAGGGGGACCUUCGGGCCUCUUGCCAUCGGAUGUGCCCAGAUGGGAUUAGCUAGUAGGUGGGGUAACGGCUCACCUAGGCGACGAUCCCUAGCUGGUCUGAGAGGAUGACCAGCCACACUGGAACUGAGACACGGUCCAGACUCCUACGGGAGGCAGCAGUGGGGAAUAUUGCGCAAUGGGCGCAAGCCUGAUGCAGCCAUGCCGCGUGUAUGAAGAAGGCCUUCGGGUUGUAAAGUACUUUCAGCGGGGAGGAAGGGAGUAAAGUUAAUACCUUUGCUCAUUGACGUUACCCGCAGAAGAAGCACCGGCUAACUCCGUG